rnacentral:rRNA from 1 species
CCUACGGGAGGCAGCAGUGGGGAAUAUUGGGCAAUGGGCGCAAGCCUGACCCAGCAAAGCCGCGUGAAGGAAGAAGGCUUUCGGGUUGUAAACUCCUUUUCUCAGGGACGAAGCAAGUGACGGUACCUGAGGAAUAAGCCACGGCUAAAUACGUGCCAGCAGACGCGGUAAUACGUAGGUGGCAAGCGUUAUCCGGAUUUACUGGGUGUAAAGGGGGUGUAGGCGGGAAAGCAAGUCAGAUGUGAAAACCAUGGGCUCAACCUGUGGCCUGCAUUUGAAACUGUUUUUCUUGUGUACUGGAGAGGCAGACGGAAUUCCUAGUGUAGCGGUGAAAUGCGUAGAUAUUAGGAGGAACACCAGUGGCGAAGGCGGUCUGCUGGACAGCAACUGACGCUGAGGCGCGAAAGCGUGGGGAGCAAACAGGAUUAGAUACCCUUGUAGUC